GCCCUCUCAGGAUCACACCUGGAGAGUUUUCAGUACUCUAACCAGUCUCGGCUACCAGAGGGAGAGUCAAGCAGAGGCACAUCCAUUCCAUUCCUAGCUUGGGCAGAGGCUAGCGAGCGGAAAGCAAUCUGCUGCAACU